rnacentral:tRNA from 2 species
GCCGGUGUAGCUCAAUGGUAGAGCAAUCGCCUUGUAAGCGGUUGGUUGGAGGUUCGAUUCCUCUCACCGGCUCCA